AGUUCGGACUGCAGUCUGCAACUCGACUGCACGAAGUCGGAAUUGCUAGUAAUCGCGGAUCAGCAUGCCGCGGUGAAUACGCUCCCGGGCUUUGUACACACCGCCCGUCACACCAUGAGAGUCGGGAACACCCGAAGUCCGUAGUCUAACCGCAAGGAGGACGCGGCCGAAGGUGGGCUUGAUAAUUGGGGUGAAGUCGUAACAAGGUAUC
rnacentral:rRNA from 1 species